rnacentral:rRNA from 1 species
AGGGAUUCAGCAGUGAUAAACAUUGACAAUAAAGCGACAGCUUGACCCAGUUAAAGAAAAAAGAGCCGGCUAAUCUGGUUGCCAGCCGCCGCGUACACCACGUGGCUCAAAUGAUUUUAUCGGCGUAAAGCGUGAUUAAAAGUUCUCUUAAUUUGAGUAAAAACUAAAGCGUGACACGCUUGUUAGAACCAAAACGAAAGUACCCAACACUUGAAUCACGACAGCUGAAACAAACUGGGAUUAGAUACCCCACUAUGCUAGCCGUAAACUUUAAUACAUCCAUCGCCGGGAACUACGAGCAAAGCUUAAAACCCAAAGGACUUGACGGUACCCCAACCACUAGAGGAGCCUGUCCUAUAACGAUAACCCCGUUAACCUCACCCCUUUAGCCUAUCAGCCUGUAUACCUCCGUCGUCAGCUUACCACGUGAGCGCAUCUUAUGAGCUUAAUGUCCACACGCCAAAACGUCAGGUCAAGGUGCAGCACAUAGGGGGGAAGAGAUGGGCUACACUCUCUAAUUUAAAUACCGAAUGACUAUUAUGAAAACUAGUCUAAAGCGGAUUUAGAAGUAAAAAGAAACCACAGUGUUCUUUUUACCCGGCACUGGGGUGUGUACACACCCCGUCACCCUCUUCAAGCCCAACAAGUCUAUAACUACCCUGUAAAGGCAAGUCUACGGUAA